rnacentral:lncRNA from 1 species
UCAUUAGGAGGUUGUUCAACACUUUCGUUGGUUUCAAAUUCGAAGUGCAUCCCAAGAGCAUCCGCAACCAUUUCAUGGUAUAUUGGAUGUUGAAUGGUAUUCCCCAUCGACCUACUACUUUCACCAACAACUACAUUAUGAAAUACACCAUAAGUACCAUCAAUCUCUCCAUGACUAGUCCACACAAAAUAAUUAUCCAUA